rfam:Pan troglodytes isolate Yerkes chimp pedigree #C0471 (Clint) chromosome 13, whole genome shotgun sequence.
GCUGGGUGUGAUGGCUCACGCCUGUAAUCCCAGCACUUUGGGAGGCUGAGGUGGGAGGAUUGCCUGAGACCAGGAGUUCGAGACCAGCCUGGGCAACAUGGCAAGACCUUGUCUCUU